AUCAUGGCUCAGGAUGAACGCUAGCUACAGGCUUAACACAUGCAAGUCGAGGGGCAGCAUGGUCUUAGCUUGCUAAGGCCGAUGGCGACCGGCGCACGGGUGAGUAACGCGUAUCCAACCUGCCUUACACUCUUGGACAGCCUUCUGAAAGGGAGAUUAAUACAAGAUGUUAUCAUGAGUAAGCAUUUUCGCAUGAUUAAAGGUAUUCCGGUAGACGAUGGGG
rnacentral:rRNA from 1 species